GAGGAAUAGGCUUGAUUUCUAACAUUUUGUUUCGAGUUUUGAUAAGCCAGCUCGGAAAUUGGGAACGGUUGGAGGCUCGUUCACACUAUCCGUGGACCAUUUUGGUAUAGUGGCUUGUAUAUUUUGAGUAUGGCGUGUAUAGCAUUAUAAUCAUUUUGUGUAUAUGAUCUUAUGAUAUAGCUAUUGGGUGGUAAGGAAAUGUUUGGUAAUGAUUAGCCAUUAGAAUGGCUAAUCAAGAUCAUAUUUGGUGUUAUGCAUGCUUAAUGUGUUAUCUAAUCCAUGGAAAUUCAUAAAAA